rnacentral:rRNA from 1 species
GACGAACGCUGGCGGCGUGCUUAACACAUGCAAGUCGAACGGAAAGGCCCUGCUUUUGUGGGGUGCUCGAGUGGCGAACGGGUGAGUAACACGUGAGUAACCUGCCCUUGACUUUGGGGUAACUUCAGGAAACUGGGGCUAAUACCGGAUAGGAGCUCCUGCUGCAUGGUGGGGGUUGGAAAGUUUCGGCGGUUGGGGAUGGACUCGCGGCUUAUCAGCUUGUUGGUGGGGUAGUGGCUUACCAAGGCUUUGACGGGUAGCCGGCCUGAGAGGGUGACCGGCACAAUGGGGACUGAGAUACGGGCGGGAGUCGUACGGGAGGCAGCAGUGGGGAAUAUUGCCCGAUGGGCGGAAGCCUGAUGCAGCAACGCCGCGUGAGGGAUGACGGCCUUCGGGUUGUAAACCGCUUUCGCCUGUGACGAAGCGUGAGUGACGGUAAUGGGUAAAGAAGCACCGGCUAACUACGUG